rnacentral:rRNA from 1 species
UACAGAGGGUGCGAGCGUUGUUCGGAAUUACUGGGCGUAAAGCGCGCGCAGGCGGCUUUCUAAGUCCAUCGGUGAAAUGCCGGGGCUCAACCCCGUGCCUGCCGAGGAUGCUGGGAGGCUGGAGACAUGUAGAGGCAAGCGGAAUUCCGGGUGUAGCGGUGGAAUGCGUAGAGAUCCGGAAGAACACCGGAGGCGAAGGCGGCUUGCUGGGCAUGGUCUGACGCUGAGGCGCGAAAGCGUGGGGAGCGAACAGG